rnacentral:lncRNA from 1 species
CACGCGUGUCUUGUCUUUUUAUAUACAGUACCAUCCUGCCUAGUACCACUACCUCCACAGAAAAUCAAAGGGGAACGUGCUAAAUACACUGGCCACGACAUCUAAAAUCUGAUCAGAGAUCCAUCCGAGAAUUUCCACACAGGUGGGCGGCUAGCUAGUUAUUGACGUGUGUACGUGGAUCGGUGGCUGCUGCUGACGAGAGAAAGAUUAACGAUUGACCAAAGUGCUUCCGAUAGUAACUAAGGCCCCACGCGCUGCACCUAGGACGUACGUACAGUACACAUCACACACGUCCUCGCGUCCUGAUGGUACGUGCCGAGUGCCGACAUACUACUCCUAGUCCUAGUGGAUGAGGUAGAGUUAACAGCGGAGCUUAAAAAUGGAUAGAAAUUCCGCACAUUCAGGCCUUGUUUAGUUGGCAGAAUGAAAAGUUUUUGGACACUAUAGUAUUUUCAUUUGUUUGUGGUAAAUAUUAUCUAAUUAUAGACUAACUAGUCUUAAAAGAUUCAUCUCGCGAUUUAUAGGCAAACUGUAUAGUUAGUUUUUGUUUUUUUAUAUUUAAUACUCUAUGCAUGUACUGCAAAAUUUGAUGCAACAGAAAUCUUAAAAAGUUUCUAGCUUUUUGGAUGAACUAAACAUGGACGGUCGACAUGGACGCUCACCGGUCUCGCGGUUGGAUACGGAGUACAUGGGCGUCGCCAUUGCCGCGGCCUCUGCCCGCCACUGCCACUGCCACUGCGUGCCCGUGCGAGCAGCGAACUAGUGCAAGAGACGAUCUGAGAUACCAGAUGCUUUUCUUUUUCUUUUUCUUUUUCUUUUUCCAAAAGGCGCUCCUAACUAAACAAGGCCUAAAGCAUGCACUCCUCGCUGAAUGAUUAUGAUUAUAAUUAUUACUCGGCACCAGGAAAGCACGCGGUUACUAGCACCUAAUCCAGGUCAAGGAUUAACCAAAAGAAAAGAGAAAGAAAAUAUCCUCAGAUAAGAGGACAGCGACAUGUACCGAACCAUCAACCAUACAUUCCAUCGCCAAACAAACAGCGGUUGUGUACUCGAUCUCUUUCGUCGAAAUGUUCUUUUAUAUAUAUAUUUAAAAUAUUUAAGGAGUACUGGUAGUUACAAAAAUACUAAUUCGUCUGACUUUUCUGAUUUUUUUUUUGCCUGAUCUGAGUCGCCGUCGGUGUGCCAAAAUGGGAAUGGGGAAGGGAAUUAGAGCAUCUCCAAGAGACUAGGUAAAAUUAUAUUCUAAACUACAAGAUUUAGCCAUUG